GCCUCGAGCACUGACUGCUCUCGGGGUCACAGCUGUGACCGUGGCUUUGAGAACUUAAGAAGGCCUUAUGCCCUCUUUGCAUGAAGACUCAGCUAGGAUGAUUCUCAAUGUUCCCUGUUUCCACACAGAAAAAUCAAUUUCCAAUUAUUUCCAACCUUGAUCCAUGUGAUUACCAAUAUUUGCUGUGAUUACCUGUUGGCCCACUGAACUUCCAACCCGUGAGCAUUAGCACAGCGGCAGAGGCCUCUGCCUCAGAGCCAUUUCCUUGUUAAUGUCACUAUUUUGGAGUUUUGUACCAGGGUUGAGCCCAAGGGCACUGUACCACAGAGCCACAUCCCCAGCCCUUUUUUGUAUUUAUCUAGAGACAGGGUCUCACUCGGAUACUUAGGGUCUCACUAAAUUGCUGAGACAGCCUUGAACUUGAUCCUCCUGCCUCGGCUUCCUGAGCUGCUCAGGGGAUUGCAGGUUUGGCCACCAUGCCCAGCUAUUGCCAUGACUUGAACCAAAUCUCUGGGAGGUGUGAUUACCGAGCCACCUGAACACAUGAUGGAGGGACAAGGAGGGACCACGUGGGUGAGGAGGAGAAGUGGAUGGUUCUGCUGCGGCUGUUUCCUGGGGCCUCACCUAAACUUCUUUGGGCUUCAGUUUCCCCACCUAGAAAACUCAGUCUCCAGAGCCCAUGGGGACAGCUCUGUGGCCAGGCUUUGCACACGGUGGGGCACAGGGAAGAGGCUGGAGAUGGCACACUCCUGGGAACACAGCCACCUCUGGCUGCACCCAGUCACUCCCCAAGGCCCUCACCGGUUCCCCAGGGUGAACCCUGCCCCAGGCCAGGCCUUCCGUGCCGCCCCACUGGCCAGGUCUGCUCUGGGGUGAGAGCCAGCUCUACGGCCCUGCAGGGAUGACCCCCCCUGGCCCCCCGGGGUCCCACCAGCUCCCGAGCUGCAGAAGACUUCCCUCCCUGGAGCAUCCCACAGAACUCAGAGCCACACCAAACCCGAGCAUGAGUGAGUCUUCCCCAGAAAACCUGCCACUCUGUACUCCUGCCCGAGCUCACAGCCCAUGGUAGAGUCACCCUGGCAAGAGCUAGGGUUCCAGGGACACAUCCCCCUGGGUCACAGCACCCCUGCCCGGCUGGCUGAUUUGAUCACUGUGUCCUGGAAGCUCAUGGUUGGACACACUUAUCAGGCCCACGCUCUCCACUCUGUCUGGAGCAGGUCUCCGCGUCCUGGGCCAGCUCUGCGGGCUCCAAGGUCAUCCUGCCCUCCUCAGGGCUGACUUUCCUACUGCAGCUGGAGGAAUCUGGAAGGGCCAGAGCUCUCCUGCUGGCAUCUGCUCACGGCUCCUCUGCCUGGAAGUCCUGCCCCACCCACAUCCACUCCCAGACGUCCCAGGUCUCAGAUCCAACCUCACACUGCCAGGAAGUACUGGGAUAAACAGGGAUCUUCUGUGUUCUCUGAUGUGUUGCUCAGCACACGAGGUUUUCCUGGAAACACCCCAGCCACAGAGGAGUGCUGCACGCUGCCUGCUGCUGACUGGCACCCACCCUCCAGCCUCCCUGACACCCAGAGAUCCAACGAGAGGCACUCCAGCCGAACUUGGAAGGCAGAAGUGCAGACAGUGCCCUCCCAGCAGCAGGCGUGAGCAGGCACACGGGCACCAUGGCACUCGGUACAAACCACCCACCAGGGCUCUGCAUCACCAGGCAGUGGCUUCCUGAAACUCCCCAGCCUCUGGCCCCAAAGAGCCUCUCCCUGGGUCCACAUUCCUGGCUCAGCAGGGGACAGGGCGCCUCCUGGCCUCCUCCCCAGGAGCUCACUGUAGGACUCUAAGGACCUGUCACCUGUGCUGAUCCUUCUGCCAGACACCUGCAGAGGUUCCUGCUUCCCUGGUAUUCAGCCAGAAAGGUUUCUCCCACCCCACGUGGACAGCAGGGCCUCCACCAGACCAGGACUCCAUGGUGGUUUUAAACUGACCCAAACGGCCCUCUCUCAGGGCCUCAGCCCUCCACAGGUGAGUGGGACUCAACUCCACCCGUCCUCCACGCCUCCUGCCUGUCACCUUAGGUCUAGUACCAAGUGGAGUUGAACCCAGGAAACCUGCCAUGCUUGACCACUGCCCCUGGGGAAAGCUGUUUGGGACACCAUGGGUCACCUGAAGUCCCUGGCUGACCAUGGUACCCAAGAAGGCACCAGGAUGCUGUGUCAUGCUCCCUGGGCGCAUGGUCAGCGAGCUCUCCCACGGGGCCUGACACAGAAGCAAGUGCUCAGACCUGUCUGUCCAUCAGCCCUUGUUGUCAAUAUCGCCACUCACCUGCAACUGGCCCCAGCAUCCUUGGCCAAUCGAGCUUCUGCUCCCCACCAGCUACUGAGGUCUGUUCACCAUCAAAAAGGAAAUGCAGGUGCUCAAUAGAUGUAUAAAAAGUUUACCCCACUGAUGAGGAGUGUCCUCAAAGCCAGAGUUCCACUUUAAUAGCCUACUGUCAAGAUGGGCGGGGGCAGAGGACAGGUGGGCAGGGGCAGGACAGGAGACGACCUGCCGAGUUCUCUGUUAGAUGCUUCUGGAAGACCUCUGGUUUUGCGACCUCUCUGGAAGGCCAUGCGCCUACGCCUGAUGGGAGGCAGAAGCCCGCACUGCCCCGAGGUCCCUACCCCAGCUCUGGUGCAGCCAGCUUAUGGAGGCCACUUUCUGACAGGGCUGCUCUUUCCCCUACUCCCCACUAGGACCUUCAGUGAGGGGGGGUGGGGGCAAGGCUGGUGAGAAAGGAGAACGCGCUCAUUUGGCUCUUCUGCUGUGAUUGCAGAAGCCCUUGACACGGGGCAGGACUGUGCCCAAUAAGCCCAGGGUGAGCUGAAGAGAUCCGAGAUUGAAAAAGCAUCGACUGUCCUCCGCUGCUUCUCUGGUGGUCUAGAGGCUGCCGGGAGGGGCAGCUCACUUAGAGUCCAGCGCACAGGAGGGUAGUAGGUAUUGCUGCCAGGAGAAGACCCAGAGCAGAGUCAAAGCACGGUUCUGCGGUCCGUGUAUCGCUCUGCACCGCCACGAGCAAGGACCGUCCACCAGUGUUUCUGCCUUGGAAUUAGCAAGGCUGCUCCUUUGGGGGAGGGAUGAGUAGUCACCAGUAGGGGAUUUUCUAAGCAAAACCCUGCUGAAGUAGUUCAACCCGACACAGCACUGCACCACCUUUUAAAGGCCGUGGCUUGGUCCCCGCAGAGCCACAGAGGCCAGGCGCAAGUUUCCCGCCCCUUCCGAGCGGCCCUGAGUGCAGUGCGCCCCCUGUCCUGUCUGGGGCCUCUGCACCUCUCUGCCUCCUCUCUCCCCCUCAGCCCCUCGUGCAUUUUCCCCCGUCCCCCAGCUCCACUUGCUGGCCUGGGAGCCUCCUCCUCUGUCCACCAAGUGCUGGAGGUGCUGUGCCUCCCCACGUCAGGACCCGCCCCCCACGGCGGCCUCUGGCCCUCCACCUCCAGCUGCUGGCUGCCCUUCACUGAGCUGUGAGCCUUGAGGCAGGGGGGCAAGGGCAGAGGACAGGUGAGAGCAGGACAGGUGGGCGUUGAUUUCCUCAGGAGAUCUCCCCAGGGACUGUGGAAGGGGAAACUGCAGGGGGCAGCAGCAGGAAACACUUUGCAGGGGCCCCUGCCCCCGCCCCAGUGCUGUGUGUGAGCCAGAGCCCAGGACCCAGGGGGGAGGUACGUGGAGGGGGGCGACACCCCAGGGCUCUGGGGAUGGUUGAUCUGAGUGAUGGGCCAGGUGCCGGGGGGAGCCAUACUCAGGGAGCCUGAGUUGAACCAACCCCCUCCAGCCCUAGGUAUGGCGCUCCUGCAGGAAGGUCAGGCCCAGGGCCAGGACUCCGAGUACCCACAGCACCCUGGGGAGGCUCAGGGCCAUCCAGAACCUGGCCCCAGGGCGCUCUCACAGUCCCUGGCAUGAGGCAUUUGUUCAUCCAUUGUCUGUGCACACACUACAGCCUCCUGGUUCACAAAACCACAGACGGUAAGACCUUUCCCAGCUUCCAAAUCCAAGUGCUGCAGCAGAUGGAGCAGGAGCGUCGGUCGGUCGAUAUCAGGUACACAGGCACAGUCGGCUGGCAUCCUGAGCAGGACCAGGAGAGGCGUGCAUCCCUGCUCUCCUCAUCAGCAUUCCCUUCCAGCCCUCCAUAUGGAUCAGUGAGAUCCCACGGCAUGAGGGAACGGGGAGGAGCAGUGAAUCCCCAUUAGGCACAGCGCUGUUUAAGGAGAUUCCAGUGAGAUCCCGCAGGCCUGAGGCCUGGGGCAGAAAUAGAGCCCGUGGGCUCGGCUGCAUUAGCAGAAGGGAAGAGCACCUCCCCAUCCAGCUUCUGUUGUUUUCCCACAUCAGGGAUUUGAAAACUGAGGCGAACCCCAGUGAACGGCCACGAUUACAGCGAGAUGCUAAGGUUUGGAUGCGAGGUGUCCCCAGAGCUCGUGUCUGAGGGUGCAAGAAUGGUCAGAGGUGACACGAUGGAGUCAUGACAUGGAUGAGCAGGUGGGAACUGAAGGCAAGCGGUGGUGACCGCAGGACAGGAUCCCGGGGCAGACCUCCGGGUUGACACGUGACCCUGGUGAGGGGAGUGCCCUUGCUUCCUGGUUGCUGCGUCCUGAGCUGCUGUCCUCCACCCUCCCCUCCACCUUGAGGUUCCCCCCCGGCCUCAGACCCAGCUCUAGGGAGUCAGCCCAUCACCAUGAACCAAAGCCAACUUUUCCUCCUUGGUCUUUUGUCCCAGUGACACUGAAGCUGCCUAAAACACGAGGACACAGAAGAGUGGCCCUUCCUCUCAGCUCACAGUCUAAUCAGGGCCUACCACCAUGCUGACCACCCCCGAGGACGGGACAGGCUCAGCACGGCUGCUCCCUGGGCCUUGACCACCAGAGCAGAGCCAUCGAUGGUGGCAGGUGCUUUCCCUAAACUGAUCCCUAAAACAGAUAUCACCCUCCCGUUUUCACACAAGAGGAAACUGGGGCUGGCGGAGAUGGGAAUUUAGCUGGGGGGCAGGUGUGGAUACGGACGGAGCUGACCCCGAGCCUAACUAGGCGACAGCGUCUGCCUGGCCAUGGGCCCCCGGUCGGGCUUCACGAUCGUUGCCAGGCUAGAGCUUCACAGCCACCAGCAAGAUGGGAUGCGAGGCAGUGACACGGCUUGGGUGAGGCGCCCCAAAAGUUCGUGUGAGACGAUGUGAGAGGGUUCAGAGGAGAAGCAGUUGGGUUGUGAGAGUCUUCACCCAAUCAGUGAAUUCAUCCCCGCUGAUGGGAUUGACGGUGGGCGCCGAGGUGCUGCGUGUGGCUGAGGAGGGGCCCUGGACGUGGCUUUGGGUGUAUAUUUGUAUCUUGCAAACGGAGAGCUCUCUCUGCUUCUGCUCCCGCACCACUCUCUUCCACCAAGGUGUCCUGCCUCACCUUGAGCCCCGAGGAAUGGGGCUGAGUGUCCUGGGCUGAGACCUCUGCGACCGUGAGCCCCAAGUACACUUCCCUCCUCAGCAGUGGUGCUGGGCGGGCCUUCUAGUCACCGCAGCAAGAGGCCCAUGACACACAGCAAUGGGCGCUUGCCUGCCAGGAACAGUGUGUCCUGUCCUUCAUGGGGGUGACCGGUGUUGCUGCCCACCAGGGAUGACAGUUUCUGGUCCCCUGGCUCCCGAGUGGUCAUGUGACUGAUUUCUGCCAGUGGCAGAUGGACAGAGCUGACGGGCUACAUGCUGGGCAGGGCAUUUGGAAAGGGGACGGGGCUCCUCCACCCAGCCUUUCUGCCCAUCCACCAGCAGGCCCCAGAAACCCGGCGACCCCUGACCACAGGCAGAAGCCUCUGUCCUCGGUCCCCAGGAGAGAGAAGGCGGCCCCAGCCAGGGUACUAGCCAGGGACCCCUGGCACAGGAGGUGCCUCUGUGAAACCCAAGGACUUCAUUGCUGUUGGUUUUGCUGAGUUAAUCCAACAUUGUCUUUCCCAUUUAACAUGUCACAAAACCAAGGUUCAAGGAGGCGAGUGAUUGGCAGAGUCCCAGGCCAGGUCAGGGCCUUCCCGAGGCCUCCUUCUCCCAAGCCCUACUCUCUCAGCCCUUUGAUCUGCCUCUCUGCCUGCCCUGCCUGGUGGACGUCCCUUGGGCUCCAUCGACUCAACGUGUUUGUGCAAGUAAAAGUGAUGGCCAGCACGGCUGAGUGAGAGUUGGUCCUGGUCCUGUCUCUUGUGCUCUGUGUCUUUUGGCAGGUCAGUGGCACUCUCUGAGUUCAUCUGUGAGACAGGAACCUCAGAGGGACCCACCAACUUCUCCACAACAGUUUGAGGUUGGCAGCCUUGUAGCCCAGCCAAGGGCACCCAUGGUGGCCAACGGUUGGUCUCAAGGGAACCUUAGGUGCUCUGAUUUCCAAGCACUGUCCCCUGCUGUUCCCAAGACAGCCGCACAGCUAGGGCAGGCAACGCCACGUCCACAUACUCUCCUCACCUGGGCACAGGGACCAGGGCACUUCCCAGCCUCCCUGGCAGUCAGCCUGGCACGUGACACUCCUUGCCAAUGGAACAGGAGCCUGUGUCACUAAGCGACUCUCCUCCCCAGCUCUCGCCUCUGCGGGAACUCAGGCCCUGUUCCUCAGCCUCCCGUUGCAGGGGCCACUCCUGGGUACCUGCAGCACCCCUGGAGGCAGCGCCCAGGAGCUGGGCGUCAGGUCAGGACUGUGUGAGUCAAAAUCACACUUUUUCUCUAAGCCAGAGCAUUAACUGCUCUGAAUAGCACAUCAUGCAACAAGACGGAGCCUCCGCCCUGCUCACGCCGGCUCUCUGGCCUACUCAGGUCCUCACCUGCCCGUGACCCAGCCUCCCAGGGACCCCCACUGCCCCUUCCCCAGGACUCCAGCUUCCCUGCAGUCAGGCUGGCCCUGAGCGCCUCACAGGAGAGCUCGUCCCGCGGCGGCCCCUCCACUGUCCUCAGGCACCAGCACGGCACAGGGGCUGCUGCUCCAGGGCCACCCUCGAAGGCAGCUUCCACAGCGCGUUCCCGUCCCCGGCCUCGCUCUUCCACCUCCACAUUCCUCGCUGGCUGUCCAUGCCCUGGAGGGCACCCGCUCGCUCACCCUUUCCUCCUCCACCUCCCUCCACGGCGGGCUCUGUGAGCCGUGGGUGUGCUUGUUCACGCCUGCGACCUCAGGGCCUGGGACACAGAGGGGCUCAGGGCACACUUGACACAUAAGUGAACUAGAACACGUGAGCACACAUCACCAACAAGGUGCUGGGCAAUGGGGCUUGGGGCCCUCACCAUGCUGAGGGGACCACAGUGAGUGACCCGUGGGGGUGCAGCAGGCUCGGGCGGUCCAGGUCCUGUCUGCAGAAGAGACGACCCGGGCUGCACCCCAGGAAAAGUCGCCCGACUCUGAGAGCAAUGACAGGUGACGACAUUCCAGACAGGGACACGAGCUGACAAUGAAAGGCAGGAGGAUCCCACCAAAGCCAACAGGAAGUGCGAGUCACAGCAGUCACCAGCCCCACAGAGCAGCCAGCGUCUCCAGGGCCCGACGCUCUGCGGACCUCCAGAGGCACGGUUCUGCCCAGACGCACCCGCACCGACCACCACGUCGAGGGUGAGACCCGGUGGCUGCCUCACAGCUUGGAGCAGCUGGGCUGCCCUCCAAGGAGCCGGCCCAGCCCUGCCAGAGGGCCCGCAGCACACCCAGCUGAGCAGGUUCGAGGCUCUGCCCCACCUUAUCUCCUCCACACUUCCCACCUGCGCUCCUCGUCUUCCUCCAAGUCCCCGGGAGAGCACUGGCUCGUUGUCAGCGACGGGAAGGGGGAAGCCAGCAGCCUCUGGGAUGUCAGCCACAGUCUUUGUCACCGACCAAUCUUGUGUGGGUUGAAUUGCUCCUGAAACUCCCACUCGCCUGCCCAGCGCCAGGCCCCGUUGCAGAGGUCACCUGGCUUCAGAGCUGCGUUACUUCAUUGUCACAAAGACAGACCCGUCUUGUUUCAGCCAAGCCACCUCUGCAGACUUUUGAACUUAGGGGACAGACUUUUGAACUGGGACAGGGAGAUGGGUGACCACUAUUUUGAAUACCUACUAUGUGUUCAGCACGGAGUUCAUGUUUCUCAGAGUCUCGGCAGGUCUCUGAUAUAAAA